AGAGUUUGAUCCNGGCUCAGGACGAACGCUGGCGGCGUGCCUAACACAUGCAAGUCGAGCGAGGUGUAUACACCUAGCGGCGGACGGGUGAGUAACACGUGGGUGACCUGCCUCAAAGUGGGGAAUAGCCUCUCGAAAGGGAGAUUAAUACCGCAUAACAUACGCACAUUUAAAACGCGUAUCAAAGGAGAAAUCCGCUUUGAGAUGGGCCCGCGGCGCAUUAGCUAGUUGGAGAGGUAACGGCUCACCAAGGCGACGAUGCGUAGCCGACCUGAGAGGGUGAUCGGCCACAUUGGAACUGAGACACGGUCCAGACUCCUACGGGAGGCAGCAGUGGGGAAUAUUGCACAAUGGGCGAAAGCCUGAUGCAGCAACGCCGCGUGAGCGGUGAAGGCCUUCGGGUCGUAAAGCUCUGUCCUCAAGGAAGAUAAUGACGGUACUUGAGGAGGAAGCCCCGGCUAACUACGUGCCAGCAGCCGCGGUAAUACGUAGGGGGCUAGCGUUAUCCGGAUUUACUGGGCGUAAAGGGUGCGUAGGCGGUCUUUCAAGUCAGGAGUGAAAGGCUACGGCUCAACCGUAGUAAGCUCUUGAAACUGUAAGACUUGAGUGCAGGAGAGGAGAGUGGAAUUCCUAGUGUAGCGGUGAAAUGCGUAGAUAUUAGGAGGAACACCAGUUGCGAAGGCGGCUCUCUGGACUGUAACUGACGCUGAGGCACGAAAGCGUGGGGAGCAAACAGGAUUAGAUACCCUGGUAGUCCAC
rnacentral:rRNA from 1 species